AAUUUAUGAGUCUUGGAUCAUUGCUUACAAGACAGAGGAUAGCAGUAGCACAAGGUGGAGAAAAGAAAGUACGCAGUUUAAGGCUAGUCAAAAGCAGUUACAAAAGAGAAGCAACUUUAACAUGAUGUCAUUAAACAUUUCUUAAAGAAUCAACGUCAUACAAUAUACCU